AGGACCUACUGCUCUAGAACUUCAGUAAUCUCCCAUCCUGAAGUCAGAGUGAGCAUCUGGGUACAAGGUCAGGCUUCAAGGGGCAGGAUCUGUGCUCUUCUUUGGGGGUAUGAUGGAACAAGGGAUUCCAGGUCACAAAUAAACUCCCUUCUCGAUGGAUCUCCACUCUUUUUUAUUUACUUUUACCUUUUUUAAAGCCAAAUGUUUUAAAAGUCAAGUGAUACAUAAGUACCUGCCUACUACACACUUGCCCUCCAAAGCUCACUCCCCAAAAGCAAACACUUUCAGGUAUUCCCCUAGUGUCUUGCUUCCAAAAUUCCAAAUAAUAUGCUUUUCUCUUCUCAGUUAUUGAUUUUUUAAUCAUAAUUUUUAAUAAUUUUAUAUUAUAUAUGUUAAUGUAUAUUAUAAAAAUAACUUUUAACCACAAAUACUAUCGAUUGGCUUCCCAAUAGGGAAUACAAACUUUCAUACCAUAUUAUAGCAUAUAUUGAAAUUAAGCUAUUUUCAUAUAAUGUUUUAGAUUUGCACAUGUAUAAUUUCAUGUGAUCCUCACAGAAUUGUUGACAGGUAUGUUGUCAUAUCAUUCCCAUUUAAAAGAUAAGGAAAUCAGAACACAGAUAAAUGUUGUGCCCAAGACCACAUGACUAGAAAAUAGCAAAGAUGGAACUGGAGCCCAGAAUAUUUGCUACUAAUAUACUGGUUUUUUUGUUUUGUUUUGUUUUGUUUUCAUUUUUACUUCAACAGCUAUGGAACCAUUUUGCUUAGAGUCUCGAUUCUGGUAAAAACUCCCUCCAGGUCCUGUUCCAGUGGCACCUUCUUCAUGAAAUUUUCACCCCUGGGCAGGUCUUUUCCUUAUGUUUUCACAGCCAUUUGUCUGUGCCUCCAUCAUAGCCUUCAUCACAAUGAAUAAUAAGUUGCUCUUUUCACAAUCCUCGAAGUUAGAGUGUGAGCUCAUCAAAGCCCUGGACAGCUUCUAAUUCCUUUUUCUGUCCCCAGAGUGCAGCAGGGCAUCAGGCGCCUAGAAGAUGCUCAGUCAUCAGGGAACGUGAAGAGACAACUUUAAGCAGAGGCCUGUGCUAAGUGCUGGGGGCACACAGAUGACUAAAACAGAACACAUUUCCUGACUUCCAAACCCCCAGGUCAGAGCAAUGAACCUGGACACUGUUGGAGAUGGAAAAAAAGAACUAAGAUGGAGUCAGAGAAAAGGGACCCUACCUGUAAUUGCUGGAUGUGUAAAUGCCUUAGACAGUUCCACCCUGGAAAAAGUAAUCCCUUCCAAAUGCUGAAACCAGGCCAUCAGGAUCAGCUCUCUUCUUCUACCUGAGAUGGGUGCAAGCUGGGUAAAAAGACAUCAGGGAGAAAGACGAUUUAUGCUUGCUCUUCGGUGCACCACUGGGAACCACUGGGACAGAAUGCAAUGCAAGGUUCUCCUUCUGUGUAUUACAACACACGAACAGGCUAAACCAGAUUUCCCUCCCUAAGAAAAAAAACUAAAGCUCUUUAAAAGCACCAUUUAUGUACAAUAGCAAAUAUGUUCAUUGUAGAUCACUUUUAGCUGUUCAUUAAACCAAAUCCCCUGGGGACAUUUUAUGCCAAUGCUUUGGAAAUUAGUCCUUGUUACUUUAUGUAAUUGAAAACAAUAAAGCUAAGUGCCUGUUACACUCUUCUGUAAUUUGAAACAGGGAUUUGCAACCUCAGGUCCUAUCUCCAGGCCCUUCACUGGCCUCAGAGGUAAUGAUGGGAAACUGUGUGUUAUAUUCAUUAUAUCAGAAAACCUUGCAGAAAUGGCACAUUUAACUUGAAGCUGUAUGAGCUCACUAAAAUGCCAAGUCUCUGUUUUUUGACUGAGAUAACAUCAAUUUAGUACAAUAAUUGAUUGUCUAAAAGGAUAAUGAUUGAUAACUGAUUAUCUCAUGCUAUCUGGGAACUUUAAAUAAUAGUAAUUUAAUGUCUUAGAUUAAUAUAAAUGGGAUAAAUUAAUGAUGCUAUAAGACUUUCAAAAAGAAGACCCUUUAAGAAAUAGGCUUCACGUAGAAAAAAACUAUUAACAGUUUAAAAAUCUAGCCAAAAAGUGGAAACAGCCCAAAUGUCUGCCUCCUGAUGAAUGGAAAUAUGAAAUGUGGUAUAUCCAUUGUCUUAGUCUAUUUUUCACUGCUAUAACAGAGUACCACAGACUGGGUAAUUUAUAAAGAAAAGAAGUUUAUCUGGCUCAUGGUUCUGCAAGCUGAGAAAUGCAAGACUACGGUCCAGCAACUGGUGAGGGCAAUCCUAUAGCAGAAGGCAAAAGCAAACAUGUAAGACAGACAGAGGAAAGCCAAACUCAUCCUUUUAAUCAGUAAUCCACUGCUGAGAUAACUAACCCACUCCCUCCAUAGUAGCGUUAAUCCCCUCAUGAGGGUGGAACCCUCAUGACCUAAUCCCUUCUUUAAAGUUCCCACUUCUUAAUACUGUUACUAUGGGAAUGAAGUUUCAACAUGAGUUUUGGUAGGAAUAUUAAACCAUAGCAUCCACACAAUGGAAUAUCAUUCCAUGAUAAGGAAUGAAGACUUGAUAGAUAUUGUAACAUGAAUGAACCUCAAAAAAUUACGCUUAGUGAAAGAAACCAGUUACAAAAGACUAUAUAUUAUGAUUCUAUUUAUAUGAAAAGUCCAUCCCGUGCAAAUCUGUAGAGACAGAAAGUAGAUUAGUGAUUAUCUAAGGCUGAGAUGCAGGAGAAUGGGGAAUGACUCUUAAUAGCUAUGAGGUUUCUCUUUUGGAUAAUGAAAAUUAGAUUGUGAUGAUAUCUAUAUCUAUAUAUAUAUAUAUCUGUAAAUAUAUAAAAACAAUGGAAUUGUACACUUAAACAGGUAAAUUUUAUGGUACAGGCAUACCUCAGAGAUAUUGCAGGUUUGAUUCCAGACUACCACAAUAAAGUGAAUAUUGCAAUAAAGCUAGUCACACAAAUUUUGUUUCCCAGUACAUAAAAAAGUUAUGUUUAUACUAUACUGUAAUCUAUUAAGUGUUUAAUAACAUUUUGUCUAAAAACAAUUUACAUGCUUUAAUUGAAAAAUACUUUAUUACUUAAAAAAUGCUAACAAUCAUCUAAACCUUCAGCGAGUCUUAGUCUUUUUGCUGGUGAAGGGUCUGGCCUCAAUGUUGAUGGCUGCUGACUAAUCAGGGUGGUGGUUUCUGAAGGUUAGGAUGGCUGUGGGAAUUUAUUAAAAUAAGACAAUGAUUUACCGCAUUGACUGAUUCUUCAUGAAAAGUUUUUCUGUAGUGUGUGAUUCUGUUUGCUAUUUUAUCCACAGUAUAACUUCUUUCAAAAUUAGAGUCAAUCCCCUCAAACCCUGCCACUGCUUUAUCAACUAAAUUCAUGUAAUAUUCUAAAUCCUUUGUUGUCAUUUGAACAAUGUUCACAGUAUCUUCAACAAAUGUCGAUUUCAUCUCAAGAAACUACUUUCUUUUCUCAUUCACAACAAGCAAUUGGGAAAAUUUUAGAGAAUAUAUUCAAGUAUAAAGAAGAAAAUAUUACCACCACCACCUAGUAAUAACCUUUGUUAACAUUUUGGCAUGUUUCUUUCUAAGGUUUUAUAUAUAUUUAUGUUUAUUUAUGACCUAAUUAAGUUCAUACUAUAAAUUCAUUUUUGUAGAUUACAAUAUCAUGACCAGCCUCCAGUUGGCAAUGGCUGCUAAAAAGCCUAGAGUCAAAAGCACAAAGCCUUACAGCAUUCAUUUUAUGGACAAAAUACUUACAGCUUAACUUUAUGUUUUUCUAUUCAGACUUCUUUCAUCCUAUUUUCCAUGGUCCUUUAUUUCCAUAUUUAAUAUAAUUUCAUUAUAUGUAGUUCUAUAAAACAUUCUAAAGGCUUUCUAAAAUAAGUAUUUUCAUCAUAAUCAUUUUUAAAUAUACAGUUCAGUUGUGUUGAGUGUACCCUCAUAGUUGUAUGACAGAUCUCCAGAACUUUUCCAUCUCAAAAUAUUGAAACUCAUUGAACAACUCUCCAUUUUCUCCUCCUCUCGUACUCCUGGUAACAACCAUUCUACUUUCUGUUUCUGUGACUUUGACUACUUUGGAUACCUCACAUAAUCGAAAUUAUACAGUAUUUGCCUUUGUAACUGGCUUAUUUCAGUUAGCAUAAUGUUCUCAGUUUAUUCACAUUGUAGCACAUGACAAGAUUUCCCUUUUUUUGAGACAGAGUCUCGCUCUAUUACCCAGGCUGGAGUUCAGUGGUGCAAUCUCAGCCCACUGCAACCUCCACCUCCCAGGUUCAAGAAAUUCUCAUGCCUCUGCCUCCCGAGUAGUUGGAAUUACAGGUGCACAUCCCCAAACCCAGCUAAUUUUUGUAUUUUCAGGAGAGACAGGGUAUUGCCAUGUUGGCCAGGCUGGUUUGGAACUCCUGACCUCAAGCAAUCUGCCCACCUCAGUCUCCAAAGGGCUGUGAUUACAGGCAUGAGCCACUACACCAAAAAGAAAGAUCGAGAUUUCCUUUCUUUUUGAAGAUGAAUAAUCCAUUGUUAUAUUCCACAAUAGUCUUCCCUUAUCCACAGGAGUUAUGCCUCAAGACCCCCAGCAUAUCCCUGAAACUACGGGUCUACUAUGUUUUUUCCUAUACACACAUACCUAUAAUAAAGUUUAAUUUAUAAAUUAAGGCACCAUAACAGAUUAACAACAAAGCUAAUAAUAAGAUGGAACACUUAUAAAAAUAUACUGUAAUAAAAGAGUGUGAAUGUGGUAUCUUUCUCUCUCUCUCUCUCUCUCUCUCUCUCUCUCUCUCUCAGUAUCUUACUGUAUGUGAUUUUUUGGACCACAGUUGAAUACUGGUAACUGAAACCACAAAGAGUGAAAUCAGAAAUAAGAAGAGACUAUUGCACAGCAUUUUGUUCAUCCAUUCACCCAGCCAUGGACAUUUGGGUUGCUUCCACUUCUUGGCUAUUGUGAAUAAUACUGCUAUGACAUGGAUGUGCAAAUCUCUUUGAGAAUCCCCUUUCAAUUAUUUUAGACAUAUAGACAGAAGCAGGAUUUCUGAAUCAUAUUAUAGUUCUAUUUUUAAUUUUUUGAGGAAACCACUAUACUUUUUUCAUAGUAGUUUCACCAUUCCCACCAACAGUGCACAGGAUUACAAUUUCUCAACAUUCUUGUCCGCACUUGUUAUUUUCUGUUUGUUUGUUUAUAGUAGCCAUCAUAAUGGAUGUGAGGUGAUAUUUCAUUGUGAUUUUGUUUUGCAUUGUUCUAAUGAUUAGCAGUGUUGAGCAUCAUUUCAUAUUCUUGUUGGUUACUUGUAUAUCAUCUUUAGAGAAAUGCCUAUUCAAGUUCUUUGCCCAUUUUUGAUCAGGUUGUUUUUUGUUGUUGAAUUGUAGGAGCUCUUUAUAUAUUCUGGAUGUUAGGCACUUAUCAGAUAUCUGAUCUGCAAAUAUUUUCUCCCAUUCACUUAUUAAUUCUGUUAAUUGUGUCCUUUAAUGCACAAAGGUUUUAAAGUUUUAUGUAGUCCCAUUUGUCUAUUUGUGGUUUUGUUGCCUAUGCUUUUGGUGUCACAUAUAAGAAAUCAUUGCCAAGUCCAAUGUCAUGAAAACUUUCCCCUAUGUUUUCUUCUAGGGAUUUUAUAGUUUUGGUUAUUAUGCCUUGGUCUUUAAUACAUUUUAACUUAAUUUUCAUAUAUAGCAUAAGAUAAACGCAUAAUUUCAUUCUUUUGCCUGUGGAUAUAUAGUUUCCCUUGAACCAUUUGUUGAAGAGAUUGACCUCUUCCCAUUGAGUGGUCUUGGAACCCUUGUCAAAGACCAUUUUACCAUAUAUGUGAGGGUUUAUUUCAGGCCUCUCUCUUCUAUUAUAUCAAUCAACAUGCCUGUUUUUAUGCCAGUAUCACACUGUUUUGAUUACUAUAGCUUUUUAUAUGUUUUGAAAACAGAAAGUGUAAGACCACCACCUUUGUUUCUUUGUUUGUUUGUUUGUUUUGAGAUGGAGUCUCACUCUGUCACCCAGGCUGGAGUGCAGUGGCGCAAUCUCGGCUCACUGCAACCGCAGCCUCCCGGGUUCACGUGAUUCUCCUGCCUCAGUCUCCCAAGUAGCUUGGACUACAGGUACGUGCUU
rnacentral:lncRNA from 10 species